rnacentral:lncRNA from 12 species
GGAAGAAGGAAUCUGCUGAACUAAACUAAGUUAUGAUCCCAAACAGAAAAGACAGAGCAGAGAUCACCAUUCACUUGAGGAGGAGCUCCCAGGAUUUGGGCUUUUCCAGAGACCUGCAAGAGGAGAAACAGCGUGCUCAGGCUACGGCAUAUGGGGACUGGGACACCGGGAUGCAUGCCGCUUGCUUGUCCGGACCUGGGAAGGUUAUAGAUUUCCUGUCCUGUGUUCAAAACUGCCAGCAAAGGCAACUGCACAGAGCCGAACCUGCACUGAGAAAAAGGGAUCCAGCCUCUGUAAGUCAGGGCUGUGUGAGAAAACAGACUCAUCCCUGGAAGACUGAUACAGAAGGCGGUGGUGGCAAUUCCACAGCUCAGGAGUCCGCGGCAGGCUGCCCAGACACCAGGCCCAAGGGCAGUGGGGGCGCGGGGGCAAAGCCACCCAUGGCCUCAGUACCUCGGGCCCUAUUGAAGGGGAGGUCAUGCCCAAAGUGAGGUUGGCACUUUUUGGAAAUCAUCAGUCAAACAGGACACUUGGUUCUAGGGAAGAAUGUUUGUGUCACUCCCUGGAACUACUCACGGAAAUGCCCUGGCUCACAUGGAGUCCACAGAUGCUCACGUCCUGAAGUAAGGGCUUCGGUUUUCUACAUCAGCUCACAUUGCAAGUGAGAAGGCGGGGGUUGGGGGCACCUUCGUGACAGCCAGGGACUGCUCUUGGGAGAGAUCGAAGAGCUUUGAAUGCAUUCGUUUAUUUUGCUACGAGUGGAGACCCUCUCCCUCAGGGGGUAUUUGAGGGGCCAUUCUGGAACAUGUUCUUGCCUUGGGGGGUGUUCAACUAUUCUAGGAUGUGUCUAGUCAAACAUAUGUCAGAGAAACUGAGCCCUGUGGGGUGCUGACUUGGAGUAGCUGCCAGGCCUGGGCAGGCAUCCCGGGAUCAGAAUUCCUAGGGGUGGAUCUAGCCAGAUUGCUUCUUCCUUUCCUGCUCGGCACUAAUUAGUUGAGAAAACAAGGCAGACGUGAAAAAUUUAAUUAUAAUACAGACCGAACAAUGCCAGAGAUGCCACAAGGCAAUGGGCGACAGAUCCCAGAUAGGGGACAGGCAGUGGGUGUCUGGAGGGGUAGGGAGGGUGCUGUGGGGCUAGUGGUCAGUGGGGCUCCAGGGGUCCAAGGGCAGUUGACGGAGCGAGGUCAGGGCUCCUGGCUAACCCCACCCCAGACAGUCACAUCUCUGGAAAGCCAGAUAGACUUCUAGGGAAACAUUUGAAUGAAGCAGGAAUCAGAAAAAUGGUUCAAGCCAAAACACCAAGGAUUUCAACCCAAGACAGAGGAGGAGCCCUGGCUACUGGAAACGAGACUUCAUCCUGCAGAAUGGGCCUAUUGCAGCUUAUAGAGUAGUGUCGCCCCCGAAGCCAGGCUGUCGGACCACAGCAUGGGCCCCAUCAUGGCUGAGAGGCAAAACCAGGCUCACGUGAGUUUCAUGCUCAGGCUUGGAGUGGAAACCAAGUGACAAACCUGCAGCCUGUGAAGGCCGCUCCCAGCCACCAACCAUAGGUCCAAGGUUUAUGAGAGACUGUGCUUCCAAGCUCCAGCUGGUGACCCCUCACCAACCCCAGCAGCCUCCUUGGUUGUCUGCCCUUCCCCAGCUGUCUCACACGGGUCAGCUCUCAUACUGCAUCUGGUGCUCCUGCUGCCAAUGAACCUGAGCAAAUGAAAGCACGUGAGAUGUUGGUGACACCCACAGAUGGCUGGUGGAAGUGGCCAAAGCAAUGUGCCAGAACUUGGUAAAAUAUGCUCCCCGGUGAAAUUCCUUGAAAGGGAUCUUUUGAGCCUGGGUAUAAAAUAAUCAUUGGGGGUAGAUCAGGAAAAUAAAAAGCUUUCUUCGCUUCCUCUUCUUCA